rnacentral:tRNA from 1 species
GAGACACUAGUAAAACAUUACACUGCCUUGUCAAGGCAGAAUUGUAGGUUAAACCCCUGCGUGCCUUA